rnacentral:rRNA from 1 species
UACGUAGGGCGCAAGCGUUAUCCGGAAUUAUUGGGCGUAAAGAGCUCGUAGGCGGUUUGUCGCGUCUGCUGUGAAAGACCGGGGCUCAACUCCGGUUCCGCAGUGGGUACGGGCAGACUAGAGUGCAGUAGGGGAGACUGGAAUUCCUGGUGUAGCGGUGAAAUGCGCAGAUAUCAGGAGGAACACCGAUGGCGAAGGCAGGUCUCUGGGCUGUAACUGACGCUGAGGAGCGAAAGCGUGGGGAGCGAACAGG